UACGUAGGUGGCAAGCGUUGUCCGGAUUUACUGGGCGUAAAGGGCGUGCAGGCGGUCUGUUUAGUCUAGGGUGAAAGCUCCCGGCUCAACUGGGAGAGGUCCUUGGAUACUGGCAGACUUGAGGGAGGUAGAGGAGACUGGAAUUCCCGGUGUAGCAGUGAAAUGCGUAGAUAUCGGGAGGAAUACCGAUGGCGAAGGCAGGUCUCUGGGCUGACACUGACGCUCAUGCACGAAAGCGUGGGGAGCAAACAGG
rnacentral:rRNA from 1 species